CGGGCCGUUUCAAACAUUAGUUGAAAACACGUAACUCUGAUCCCAUCUGUAACGCGCAUGCGCAAGUUCUUAGACGCUUGCACCGGGGGCAGCGCGAGGGGAAGUGUGUCCGGGAGCAGAGCGACGUGAACUGGCUGAAACAACCACGGCUACCGGCCCCAAUACUCUGUUCCUGUGGAUGGAGGUUACAUCUGAUGGAGUUUGUCCCUGCGGUUGUCCUGCCUUACACCUGGUGUACUACUCUGAAUAUUUGAAUAAUUUCUGUCGUAGGAAUUGAACGUACUGUACAUCUUUAAGUUGUUCUUUCUGUACACACCUACUCCUCCACUGUUCACCCUUAAGUGUUGUCCAGUUGAAGAUGUGCAACAUCUGGACCAACAACAUGUACGAGGAGGCGGGGGACCUUCUUGGUUUUGCGGCG